GCCAAGUCUCCCCAUCCCUCCUCUUCCUGGAGUGGACCACCUCUGUGGUUGGAACCGCUGGCAAUCCAUCAAAAAGGGAGGGUGGUUGACUUGGAGCUGAGACUGUAAGUGCUUAUAAGAAAUGAAAGACAUGGUUUGGGGUGAAAAAGUCAUGCUUCCGGGUACAAAGGCAAAGCCACUAAUAACCCAAGGAUUCGGUGUUCCAUCUGACCUGCUCUGAUACGGUCCCCAUAGUGACAGUCUCCAUAAACAGCCUCAACAUAACCAAACGAAACGAAACAAAACAAAACAGAAAAAAGGAAGGAGAAACUUCCACCCCGGCGAUCUGGAGGCAUUUUAGGGAUCAAGGCAAUGUCAUAUGGGGUGAAUCCUGAACGCAGAAUCUGUUCCUUUAAUAACCGAUCCUCCCUUCCUUUUGUGAGACUGAACAAAGGCUCAGCAGAUCACAGAACGGAGCCCCGGCCCAGUGUCUUCAGGGUUCAGAAAGUGCAGCCAAGAGAACGGAAAUAAAUGGGUACGAACAGACGUUCAGAUCGUUCUCCGCCUGGGACACUCAGCUGAGCCUUCUGUGGAGUCCAAGGGAGGAACAUGGCUCAUGUUCUCUGGAAAAGAGGCUGGGUCUCGGGCUCCAGGGAACUGGACUUGGUUCCCCGUCCCUGACCUUGAUUCCUGAGCCAAAGGCAGUGAUGGAGGGAAGCAUCUUCAAGCCACACCAAGUCCCUGGGGCAUCUGCAUCUGCUGCAGAUUCCUUUGCCGCUCCCAGCCUCGCGCUACUCUCUUUGAAUCCCUGACUCAGCGAGCUCCAGUCCAAAGAGCAGAGCUAGCUGUGUUAUUUCUUCUUCUUCUUCUCCUUUUUUUUAAUGCCAAGAAAAAAACUUCAGACAGCAUGCUUUGCAGACUUCUUCGCUGACCCUGAAUUCUUCACUGACCCUGAAUCACUUCCUCUUCCAGCUUUAACCCCUUGCUCCCCUGUCUUUCGGACCGCUAAACUAAAGAGCCGAACACAAAGACAGCCGGUGUUCUGUGUCAGCCAAUAGGAACGGAAUCCAAAGUCUCCUGCCUGUCCGCAAACGGACAUUUCUCCAGCGGGUCUGGAGCAUUUAUUCAACAGCUGCCUCAUCUGGCUUCCUAAGGAUAAAAGCAGCUUCUUAGAGAAUUCUUCUUCCAUGGGAUUCUAUGUUGGCCCUGGCACGGCCCCCAGCAAGUGUUAGAGUCUGUUCAAGUAUAACAAAAUGUCAUGAACUGAUGCCAGCCACGGUGGUGCAUACCUGUAAUCCCAGCAGACCAAAGCAAUCCAUGUGAAAUGUUUUCCGAGUGUUCUCUGAAGACAGCCUCCACGUCCAUCUCUCUCUACAACCACUUGCUCCCCUCUGUGCCUAACCUUAAAGGCUCGAGGGGCUGCGGAUAUGGCUCAGUGGCUAACUGAGCACACUGCUCCUGCAGAGGACCUGUGUCAGAUUCCUAGCACCCACGCCAGCCAGCUCACAGCGCCUGCAAACCCGGCUCGAGAUCCACCAGCGCUAGUUUCUGCAGGCCCCAGUACUUGUAAUCGGGAGCCUACGUGUGUGUGUGUGCACGUACCACACGCACGCCAGGUGCCUAGAGAGGUAAACGAAGGCAUCGGAGCCACAACGAGUCACAACCCGACAUGGUUGCUGGAAGCCAAACACAGGUUUUCUGCAAGAACAAACCGCUGCUCUAACUACUGAGCUAUCCCUCCAGCCCCAAGUAAAUAGAAUGUUUAAAAAAAAAAUCUAAAGAGAGUGGCUGGCAAGAUCCAUCAUGCGGUCAUUUAAGAGCGUGUAUCACUCUUUCUGAGGACCUGAGUUUGGUUCCCAGCAGCCAUAUAGGGGGCUCGCAACUGCCUAUAACACCAGCUAAAUGGGAACCCAAUGCCUCUGAUCUCUAUAGACACCUGUACUUGUGUAUAUGCGCGCGCACGUGUGCACACACACACACACGCGCACAUGCACACAAAGAAACACAUACAUACAUGUACUUAAAAUAUUUUUAAAAACUGGCUGGUAGUAGCCCAUGCCUUUAAUUCCAUGAAACCGGGAUCCCGUCUGUAACCACAGGCCUAUGGGUUUCAACGCACUGACUCUCAGACCAAGGUAACUACUUUUCUUUUUCUUUUUCUUUUUUUUUUUUUUUUCUUCUUUUUUUCGGAGCUGGGGACCGAACCUAGGGCCUUGUGCUUGCUAGGCAAGCGCUGUACCACUGAGCUAAAUCCCCAACCCCUCUUUUUUUUUUUAAGAUUUGGUUUUAUUUCAUGUGUGUAAGUGUUUGCCUGCCUGUGUAUGAGCGCUUAUAUGCUAGCCUGAUGUCCUCAGAGGUCAGGAGAGGGCAUGAAAUCCACUGGGACUAGAUUUGCAGACAGUUGUGAGUCCUGGGGAUUGAACCUGAAUCCUCCUCAACAGAAGCCAGGGCUCUGACCACUGAGCCAUCUCUCUGGGCCCCCGCGGCUGACUCCUCUAAGACAGGCUAUGUGCAGGGACUCAGAUAAGAGGGCCUCUAGGGGGGCUGGGGAUUUAGCUCAGUGGUAGAGCCCUUACCUAGGAAGCGCAAGGCCCUGGGUUCGGUCCCCAGCUCUGAAAAAAAAGAACCAAAAAAAAAAAAAAAAAAAAAAGAGGGCCUCUAGGUGUCCGAAUGAGAGGGGGCGGCCGGAAUGGUUGCUUGUGGCUGCCAGGAUGCAGAAUCACGCUCACGCGCUCACAUGCACGUGAAGUUUCUCCAUCACCAAGGUUUCUGUGCGACAAGCCUUACCUGACCUCAUCUCAGGACCGCAGCGGGGACCAGACCGGCUCUGAGAGGCAGCUAGCUGACAGCACCUGGCUCCCACACCUCAUCAAGCUCACCAGCCAUUCCAGAACACCUCCGCAGCAGCCUCCAGAGAGAUCCUGAUGGGUUCCUCAUCUGACUGGGGGAGAUCCACGCUCAUAAAAGCUUCCAGACCUCUGAAGCAAUUUACCCAUUCCCACCUCCUCCCCUGUCCCUGGGGACCCUUCCUCUCUUGGCUGUGGAGGACAGAACGCACUCCAUGCUCAGUGAGUACAAAAGAAGGAGCCCAGAAUGGCAGCUCUUGGAGGGUGGGCCAAAAAAACCACGAGGGAUAAGUCCCCUCUGUGAAGCCUGAGAGUCCUCGAGGAAAUAAAAGAUCUACACCAUUAAGAUGCUGAUAAUAUCUGGGAGGUUGAGGGGAAGCCUGUCUACACAGUGAGUUCCAGGACAGCCAGGGACAGAUAUAUAGAGACCCUGUCUCAAAAAAAAAAAAAAAAAAAAACCAAAACAAACAAAAAAAACCCAAUAACAGGAGCUGGAGGGAUGGCUCAAUGAUUAUAGCACUGGCUGUUCUUCAGAGGAUUCAAGUUCAACUCCCAGCAUCUACACAGUGCCUCCCAACAGAUUAUAAUUCCAGCUCUAAGGUAUCUGAUGCCGUCUUCUGGUCUCUGUGGACACCAGGCAUGCAUUGGGUGCACAGCCAGAGAGCAAAACAAACAAAAGCAAAACACACACACUUACAAAAUAAACUUUUAAAAAUAUUUUAAAAAGGGGCUGGGGAUUUAGCUCAGUGGUAGAGCGCUUACCUAGGAAGCGCAAGGCCCUGGGUUCGGUCCCCAGCUCCGAAAAAAAAAAAAAUAUUUUAAAAAGAAGUCAGAAGGCUGGAGAGAUGGCUCAGCGGUUAAGAGCACCGACUGCUCUUUCAGAGGUCCUGAGUUCAAUUCCCAGCAACCACAUGGUGGCUCACAACCAUCUGUAAUGGGAUCUGAUGCCCUCUUCUGGUGUGUCUGAAGACAGCGACUGUGUACACACAUAAAAUAAUCUUUUUUUAAAAAGUACACUAGAAGGAGGUUUUUAGUUUGUUUUUCAACACAAGAUUUCUUUGUGUAACAGCGUCGGCUGCUCCGGAAGUCACUCUGUAGACCAAGCAGAGCCUUGUACUCACAGAGAUCCACCUGCUUCUGCCUCCCAAUGCUGGGAUUAAGGCGUGUGCCACUGGCUUCUCAGCAGGGCAGUUGUAGCAGCCGUAGUGUGGCACACCCAGCAGCGCACACCUUUAAUCCCAGCACUCAGGUAGUAGAUGCGGGUGGAUCUCCGAGUUUGAGGCCAGCCUGGACUACAAAAUGAGUUCCAGGACAACCAGGGCCACAUAGAAAAA